AAUAUUGGACAAUGGGCGCAAGCCUGAUCCAGCCAUGCCGCGUGUGUGAAGAAGGCCUUCGGGUUGUAAAGCACUUUUGUACGGGAAGAAAAGCGCACGGUUAAUACCUGUGCGUCAUGACGGUACCGUAAGAAUAAGCACCGGCUAACUUCGUGCCAGCCGCCGCGGUGACACGUAGGCACCAAGCGUUGUCCGGAUUUAUUGGGCGUAAAGAGCUCGUAGGCGGUUCGGUAAGUCGGGUGUGAAAACUCUGGGCUCAACCCAGAGACGCCACCCGAUACUGCUGUGACUUGAGUACGGUAGGGGAGUGGGGAAUUCCUGGUGUAGCGGUGAAAUGCGCAGAUAUCAGGAGGAACACCAGUGGCGAAGGCGCCACUCUGGGCCGUAACUGACGCUGAGGAGCGAAAGCGUGGGUAGCAAAC
rnacentral:rRNA from 1 species